UACGUAGGGUGCGAGCGUUAAUCGGAAUUACUGGGCGUAAAGCGUGCGCAGGCGGUUAUGCAAGACAGAUGUGAAAUCCCCGGGCUCAACCUGGGAACUGCAUUUGUGACUGCAUGGCUGGAGUGCGGCAGAGGGGGAUGGAAUUCCGCGUGUAGCAGUGAAAUGCGUAGAUAUGCGGAGGAACACCGAUGGCGAAGGCAAUCCCCUGGGCCUGCACUGACGCUCAUGCACGAAAGCGUGGGGAGCAACAGG
rnacentral:rRNA from 1 species